rnacentral:miRNA from 1 species
GAGGUGGGAGAAUUGCUUGAGUCCAGGAGAUUGAGACUGCAGUGAGCUGAGAUUACCCCACUGCACUCCAGCCUGAGUGACAGAGCAAGACCAUGUCUC